UUCAACUUUUGAGACGAAAUGGUACCACCGGAAAGCUCUGCAAAUUCUUUCCAUUAAAAAAUUAUGAAAGGAGACUCAGGCCGCCGAUGAUCUCUUGGGUGCGAUUCACGACUUUCCAUUAAAAAAUCACGAAAGGAGAAUCUAAAGAGAAACUGUCCCCAGUUUUGUUAGAUGCUUUGUUAUUUCUCGUCAGCUUUUUGCAACAUCAUUGCCUAACGACCUAAUCUAUUCACAGCUCCACACUACAAUUAAAUGAUCCUUCCUAUUAGCAAGAUUGUCGGCAUGUCAUGGUGUAAUAUAGUCAGUGACUCAGUGCCUCCGAUCACGCCACCUUCCAUGCCUACUACGGUCCCGGUGCCCAGUGUACCGGUGUCUUGACCAGUCAGGUGGUCUACUAGAAUUGCGACCAUAAUCCCCUUCUGGGCUCAGAAAAAUUCUGUCCGAACAGGUACUCUGGGGACCUCACUGGACUCUUCUCCGGGCUCCACAUUUCAAGUUCUGGCUCACCGGCAAAUUUGUUUGUCUCCCAGCGUGGACCAAGAGACAUCAAGGGAGGCUGUACGACAAACGCAUUAUAAUUGCUUUGGUUAGCGUGAACAAAGGGGAUUGAUACAGAACCCUGCCCAUCCAUUAUGAAUCGUCAAACGAGGACCUCAAUGCGUACCAGUCCAAUGCAUCUGGGGGAAGAGAGAGCAGAAAGACAGUUUCUUUCUCUGUCAUCAAGGAACGGAAAACAGAGGAAAUCGAAAAGAAGAAUGGGGAGGAGAGAAAGGGAAAGGAGAAGAAGAGAGAUCUGGGGAGAGAGAGGGAGGACACGAAAAGCAAGAAAUCAGAUUUCGAUACGUUGUGCUUUUUGUGCCUCUAACAUUCAAUAUACUUCCUAACACGUGUGCUUCGACAACCAUUGGAGUCGUAUUCAAGGUCAACUCUCACCGCCCCUCGUAGUCAAAUUGCAUUUCCUCCCCAUUUAAUUUUCUAGUCAUCUUCUUUGGUUAGUUCAUCGGAAAUAACUGUCAUAACUUCAUCGAAUGUGGGAGACUCAGAGGAAUGUUUUAUUUUGUUUUUGUCUUUGUGUUAUUUAAUCCUGUAAGCCUACAUUUGUUAACUCCUAACAUUUUAGGGUUUCAUCUCUGGAUAGUGCGCCAUAAACAACCGAUCUUCACUGGACAAAAGUGACCAUAAAGGGCACAGGCGAACUGACUACUUGUCUUCACGUCCCGGGUACAAAUUGCUGCACGAGCUCCCUAAUAAGGUCCUGAUCUAGAAGAGGCGUUACUUCAUGGUCCGCAACACCGAGGAGUGGCCCUUUCCGACUCACUGGAGGGCAGCCAUCCAAGACCCCGACGUUAGACUGGAUCUGAAGACAAGGGAGGAGGUUCGAUCUUGGGCAGAGCUCGGCCUGAAGUUCGAAAACUUCGUGACCGAGGAGAAGCUUGUGCAGGCCGGCUUAAAUCCUCCUACUUCCAUGGACGACAUCCCUGCUGGCGAACUCUUCAGGAGUAUGAAGGGGAAGAAGAAUAAGAGAACCUCCAAAAAGGCUCGCGUCGAGGCCAAAGCAGCCACAGCUAAGGUUGCCUUUCCUAAGCCCAAACACCCACUAGUUGCCGAGCAGCCUUUCGUAAUCAAUCUGGUCGAGGAGGACUCGAGGAAGGCCACUCCACCCCCAUGCCCGAGGAGGCUACAUCUUCAGAGCCCGUCCCAACAACCACCACUUCUUCAGGCAGUGAUGCUCCAAUUCGGAGCAUUUUGACACCGAAGUUCAACCUUCUCAAGAGCAAGGAUGCGGUGUUCACUAAGGAGGUCACUCGUUGGGCCGACUUGCUAGUUGCUUAGCUCGGGGCCUAGGCGGCCACACACUGUAUGGUGGUGAACUCCUCCAUCCACACCUUGGCUUAUUAGUCUGAAGUGAACCAAAAGCGGGCUCUCGAAGCUGAGGAGUCUUCCCGAAAUGCCCACGCCGAACUGAACUUAGCUCGCAAUGAAAUCAACCAACUGAAGAACGACGCACGAGCUAAGAAGGAGCUACUAACUCUGUUGAUGUCAGAGAAGAAGGAGCUCGAAGAGCGUGAAACGGCAUCGAAGAGGGAGCUCGAGAACCUCGAGGCCCAUGUGAAGGAACAAACCGAACUACUGAUUCAGGCGAUGGAGGAGGUGAAGAUUAAGGUAGUUGAGGAGUACAAGUCCUCAGUGGAGCUUUGGGAAAGGUUGGUCGAGGCAAGGACAGUGGGUUAUCGCAAGGGGUUCAAGCUCAGCCGGUGGAUGACCCGACGUGAAUUGCCCCACCUCGACCUCAGUGCCAUAACCACGUCGAAGAUCACCAAGGAGAUGGCCGUCGAAGCUGCCAAGGACUCGAACUCCGAAGCGGAGAGUGAUGACGACCUGCAUGAUGAUGAGGAGGAGGAGACCGGUGCUGCCGAGGACCGUAUGGAGACAGAUCCUCCUACCAAAGUCUCCUAUAAGGAUGAAGAGCCCCGAACAGAUUGAAGCCUCUUUUCUUGGACCCCCCUUCUUUUGUAAUGCUCAACGUUUCG